rnacentral:rRNA from 1 species
AACCUUUACACUGCACGACAGUGCGAUAGGGGGACUCCGAGUGCGAGGGCAUAUAGUCCUCGCUUUUCUGUACCGUAAGGUGGUACAGGAACAAGUGCUGGGCAAGACCGGUGCCAGCCGCCGCGGUAAUACCGGCAGUCCGAGUGAUGGCCGAUAUUAUUGGGCCUAAAGCGUCCGUAGCUUGCUGUGUAAGUCCAUUGGGAAAUCGACCAGCUCAACUGGUCGGCGUCCGGUGGAAACUACACAGCUUGGGGCCGAGAGACUCAACGGGUACGUCCGGGGUAGGAGUGAAAUCCUGUAAUCCUGGACGGACCACCAAUGGGGAAACCACGUUGAGAGACCGGACCCGACAGUGAGGGACGAAAGCCAGGGUCUCGAACCGGAUUAGAUACCCGGGUAGUCCUGGCUGUAAACAAUGCUCGCUAGGUAUGUCACGCGCCAUGAGCACGUGAUGUGCCGUAGUGAAGACGAUAAGCGAGCCGCCUGGGAAGUACGUCCGCAAGGAUGAAACUUAA